rfam:Wallemia ichthyophaga EXF-994 unplaced genomic scaffold scaffold27, whole genome shotgun sequence.
GCAUGUGUCGUAUAAUGGCAAUAUAGUGGUCUUCCAUAUCAUUGACGUGGGUUCGAUUCCCACCACAUGUA